GAUGAAGAACGUAGCGAAAUGCGAUACUUGGUGUGAAUUGCAGAAUCCCGUGAACCAUCGAGUCUUUGAACGCAAGUUGCGCCUCAAGCCAUUAGGUUGAGGGCACGUCUGCCUGGGCGUCACAUAUCGUUGCCUGAUGCCAGUUUCCUCGUGAUGGGUGACUGUGCAGGGCGAAUGAUGGCUUCCCGUGAGCAUUGUUGCCUCAUGGUUGGUUGAAAAUUGAGUCCUUGGUAGGGAGCGCCGUGAUAGAUGGUGGUUGAGUGACGAACGAGACCCAAUCAUGUGAGACCCCUACUGAAUUUGGCCUUCAUGACCCACAUGCGUCUUUGGAACGCUCAUGACGAGACCUCAGGUCAGGCGGGGCUACCCGCUGAGUUUAAGCAUAUCAAUAAGCGGAGGA
rnacentral:misc_RNA from 1 species